AUAAAAUGUUAAGCUUGUUUUACGUUACCAAUUAGAUGGUUUUCAAGAGAAUAAACUUCUAUAUAUAUUCAUUCUGUAAAAUAAUAGAUUAUUUGCCAAUUUUCUAGGUUGUACUGAAAAAUGGCUCUAAAAAUUGGUUUUCAAAGGUUGUAAAAAUUACCACCAGUAAUGCAAGUCUAAGAUAGCAAUUUAUAUUGUUCGGCCUUUUUUCACCCUUUCAAAUAAACCCAACAUCAAGUAAAUCCCUCAUAAGUUAAUUUACUUUUCUCUUUAUUUCGUUGGUAACAGGAACGUACGUUUCUGAUAUAUCACUAUAUAAAAGUCUAUCCUGUUACCUUUUUGUCUAUCCUGUUACCGAUAUCAGUAUUGCACCUGCAAAUGCUUAAUUGGGAAGAUUAAGACGUUAUAACCUUAAGAUGAGUUCAAACAAUGAAAUAUUUCAUUCGUUUUCCACC
rnacentral:lncRNA from 1 species